GAGCUGGUGCCAAGCUCUGUCACAUGCACUGGGACUGACUCUCUUCUGGUCCUGCAGGCUGAUUACCUGUCAGUGGUUGGAGCACAUCAGGUGAGUGUGUGAAGUUCAGCUCUUCAUUUAGGCCCACACAGUGAAAUGGAGUUUGUGUGCUCUCAGGUUACCCUGAGAUCUGAAAAGAAAUGGGGUAAUUGGAGAUGGCAGGAGAUUUGAUUCAGAAGAGCACUCCUGCUUCAGGCUAUCACAUUAAUAUAGACACACACAAUACUAAUUAAGAAGCAAUGGACCAAAUGGACCGAAGGAACAGGGAACACAUAAUCAAUACAGCAAUUCCUGUUGUAUUAUGUCAUGUCUCUGUAUUAUUACUUUUUUACACCAUUUACAAUUCCAUUCAUUCUAGUCUAGGAAUGCCUACAUAAAUUUGCAAUAGGGAAACAAUAUUUUCUUUGCAAGAAUCCCUUUGUCUUCAGUAAGAUUUUCUUUCACUUUCUAGAACUUGAUGUCAGUACUUUUAUAACCUCUGCUUAAAAAAGAUCACAGUACUUAAAGAAAUGCAACCAUCCUAAAUGUCCUCUGAUCACUAGACAUCUUAAUAGAAGUGAAACAGAUUGACUUCAAAACAAACUGGAGGCUUUGAGACUGUAAUUUCUGUAGUUUUUCUAGGUCCCCAUAACUUCUUCCUCUUUCUCUCACUUCUUUCCUCUGUAGUUUGUUUGAACCAUUUGUAUCUACUGGAAAAUUCCCCAUAGGCUGUAUUUACUUUCCAGAGGGAGCAUAAUAUGAAGCUAUUAGCAGCUGUUUGUACUUUUAUGUUUUUCCUUUUCAGAACUCCAAAGCUCCAAUUUUGAUGGUAUUUUCUAUACUAUCUUUAUCAUGUAGUUGACUGAGCCCUACCGAGUACCAAAGGCACAUGACUCUCCAUGUGAGAUUUGGGACUGUACAUCUGAGCUGGGAGUAUUCACCUGGGGAAAUUUCAAUGAAGCCAUGGAAAAGCGCAAUCCUGAAGCUUCUACUUGAUGGGAAUAUGUUAGGCCUUUUCAUAGCUUUUAAUUCUGUGUUUGUAUAAUGAAUCUAAAGGAAGCAACUUGUUUAAGGAAUGUAAUGAAUUCAAGGGAUGCAAAGGGAGAUGUUAAGUGUUAGGGGUGUAUUUACCAGGAAGACAAACACCUUUAUGGUUCUUCUGUCUCCUUCACUGGGAGCAGGUAAUGUGCUUGUUUCUGGAGCAGUCCCCAGGCUUGCCUGCAUUCAGGGCAGCAGCAGAGAAGAUGCAAUGCUGAGCAGCAACCAGGGCCUGCUUCAUGGUUGGGCCCUUUCAAUUUUCUCUUAAUAAGCCCAGAAAAUAGUUUUUGAAUUUGUCAGACACCACCGAGCUGUAAAAAAGUUAUCAGUGUGACAGGAGCCCUGUCAAAUAUGUCCAGAUGGGCUCUCAUGCCUGUACAGAUUGCCGUUCUCUCUUAAAUUUCUGCUGCUUUAAUUAAAAAUAAAAUAAGACAUGGUUCUUGGGUCUGGGUUCAUCUUAAUAUAUAUAAGUUCACCUCUGCUCUUAAAUGCACGGCCAGGCAGUCUGUUGCCAAACAAUUACAAAGAACGUCUGUAAAUUGGAUUCACUACACCAUCUCCAGGGACGGCUACAAUUGUCAGCUCUGUCAGCUAAAUGAAAAUAAUGAAAUGUAAGUUACAAACAGCAAGAAAAUUGGGUGAGUCAUUCUAUUUAUACAUGUAAUUACAUCUAAAGGUCCAAGUGCCUUGAAAUUAAAAGAAGAUUGGUUCUGUCAGGUUCUUAACAAGGUUUUCCUGGAAAGGGUCUUCCUGGAGAAAGCGCUGUGGAAAGCAUGUGUGUCGGCAGAGCACAAACAGCUUGACGGUGUCUGCCAGCAUUGGAGUGAGGGAGCGCUGCAGUGCCCGUGUGCUCAUUGCUGUGACCGAGAUGGAGAGUGACGGCCACGCCGGGCUCUGCCUCCCCACUGCUCUGAUAAUGAGCAUCAGCCCAGAGCUGACAAAAGGAGGCAGAAAAUGCUGAGGACGAGCGGGAUCUCCUCUCUUCUUUCUUUGAAUCUCUCAGAAGGCCUUGGGGCUCUGGAAGCUUGUAUCUGUGAGAGGCUGAGUGGAGUUCAGCAUGUCCAUUCAUGGGGAAAGCUACUGUGACCUUGGCUGGAUGGAGAUGACCAGAAUGAAGAACAUAACUCCAAAAUAUACUGGAAAGGGAGGGCUUGCAAGAAUGACACAGCUGUCUGCUACAGAAGCUGGAUGAAGGACUCCCAGCUAAAACCUGACACCUGCUGCAGCUGCCCUGCUCUUAUUCUUCCUAUUUGCUGGAAGUUCCCUCAAUGCCUUCAGAAAGAUGGUGUCUCUGCUGCUGAUUCCACUGCAAAAGCCCCUGACUGAGGAAUCUGUAGUUUUCCAGUACUGAGAAAGAGAAGUUGAAGUCCCCCCUCAAAGCCAGGAGAAGGAGAGGAGAUAUCUUCUGUUAAUGGGCCAUUGAGUGUCUGAUGACCAUGACUGAUAAAAGUUACAUCAUCCCUUUGUGAGAUGCUCCACCCAGAGGGAGGAGCCAAGCAUUCCUACCUGGGUAUAAUCUGAGAUUUGGAACACCACAG